AUGAAUCUGUUUUCUGCCGGUCAACUUACUGAUUCUGGUUGUCGUGUCAUCCUUGAUGUUGACUCUUGUUCUGUCCAGGAUCGUCGCACGCACACUCUGGUUGGGGCUGGCCCUCGCCGCCGUGAUUCUCAGGGUCUUUGGGAGUUGGACUGGCUUCAUGUUCCUUCCGCUGCCACCACCAUCGCCAGUUCCUCCACUGCUGUCGCUUCUGUUACUGGUUCCUUCAAGCAGUGGCAUCAUCGACUUGGUCAUCUGUGUGGUUCUCGAUUAUCGUCUUUAGUUCGUCGAGGCCUUCUGGGGUCUGUCUCAGGAGAUGUCUCUUUAGAGUGUCAGGGUUGUCGUCUUGGCAAGCAGAUUCAGCUACCAUAUUCUCAUAGUGAGUCAGUGUCUCAGCGUCCUUUCGAUUUAGUCCAUUCUGAUGUAUGGGGUCCGGCUCCUUUCACUUCGAAAGGUGGUCAUAAAUACUAUAUUAUUUUCAUCGAUGAUUUUUCUCGUUAUACAUGGCUUUAUUUCAUGACUUCACGUAGUGAGGUGUUGUCUAUUUAUAAGCGUUUUGCUGCCAUGGUUCAUACUCAGUUCUCUUCACCCAUUCGUGUUUUUCGUGCUGACUCCGCUGGUGAGUAUAUCUCUAAGAUGUUGCGUGGUGUCCUUGCUGAGCAGGGUACUCUUGCCCAGUUCUCUUGUCCUGGUGCUCAUGCUCAGAAUGGUGUGUCUGAGCGCAAGCAUCGUCACCUUCUUGAGACGGCUCGUGCUAUGAUGAUCGCCGCCUCUCUUCCGCCUCAUUUUUGGGCCGAGGCUAUCUCCACUUCUGUCUAUCUCAUCAACCUUCAGCCAUCUGCUGCUUUGCAGGGUGGUGUUCCUUUUGAGCGUCUGUUUGAUCGCUCUCCCGAUUAUUCGAUGCUUCGCUUGUUUGGUUGUGUUUGCUAUGUUCUUCUUGCUCCUCGCGAACGCACCAAACUGACCGCUCAGUCUGUUGAGUGUGUCUUCUUAGGCUACAGUGAUGAGCAUAAGGGCUAUCGUUGUUGGGAUCCUGUCGGUCGUCGGAUGCGUAUCUCUUGA
rnacentral:rRNA from 1 species